GUAAAAUCUGUUUAUAUAAUUGUUUUUUAAUAGAAUUAAUAAGAGCCCUGUGGUGAUAGCUUAUAGAAGAUGUCUGUUCUCUGAAAAGAGCAAGUAAUUUUCUCAAAAUUUGAAGUCCUUUUUUGCAAGCUUAGAAAUAAUUCUAAUUUGAGCAAACACAUAAAAAAGAUUCUGAUGAUCUUGAGCUUUUUUUCUGUACGUUUUACAGAACUCUUGUUAUCCAAACAUCCUGUGUUUAUCUUUUCUGUGCUAAUUUUGCUCGUUCCAACACAGAAAAAUGUUAAAGAUAAUUGAAAUUAUAAAGUGCUUUGUUUUGAGUGUCCUUUAGAGUAAACCUCCAGUAAGAUCGUGGUUAGUUCACGUUGGGAAGGUACUGUUUUUCUAACAGGCUUUUGACUUAAGCUUUUAAGAUGCUAAGAUAUUCAGGUCCAUGAGGUUCUCCUUCACGUGUUCCUUCAUGCAAGCAUGCGGUACCUCAGACAUAUACUUGCAUUAUACAAUCUUGAAUAGCCUAGGAUUCAUGCUUGAUUUUGUAAAUGGGUCUGGGGUUGCCUUUACUCUGUAACUUUAUUUUAACUUUCAGUCUAUCUUUUGAAUUUUCAAGAUCAAGACAAACUUAAGCACAACAUCAGAUAAGGGGAACUUAUCAUGUUAUUAGUUUUACUCAUAUUCUGACUAAAUCAAAAUGUAACGCAGUGUUAUUGACGUGAUUUGUGAUGCAGAUACAUACUCCUCUUGUACUUACAUCUUUAUGUGAAUACAGAAAUACUGGGAAAAAAAACGCUCCUGGGUAUCCCAAGAUAUUUCUCAAACAUACAGCAGAAAAACAACAUUGAGAAGUUAAUAUUGUAAAUGUGUUCUUUGGAGAAUUGGCUCAUGGCAGGAAUGCUUGCUGGAAGGCUCUAAAUCUCAGUCUUACUCAUCAGCUUAUGAAAAAUGAUGGUAUUUUAAAAGCCCAACUGGUGUUUAAAGAUAUGUAAGGCCAGAAAAUCAAUUUGUGAAUCAUGAUAAGUAAUGGUAAGUACCAGCAGCCUGGCACUUUGUUGGAACUUCAAUCAUUUUUACCUAUGUUAACAGCAUGGAAGAUAAUCUCAGGUUAACUCUUUUGAUUCAGAAGUUGAUUUCCUCAAGUUAGAUAUCUAUAAAAGAAACAGAAAAAGCACCUAACUUCUUCCCAGUUUGUAUGACUGUGGAAAAUUAAUCCAAACAAAUAGAUUAGUGUUACAUUCCUAUUAUAGUGAAUGUAGUUAAUGAAUAUGAUAAUAAGCUGAAGCACAUCUAAUCAAACUGGAAUAAAAUUAUUGUUACUAAAUCAUAGUGUUUAUAACCAAUUUUUAAGUGAGAUGACAUCACAUGUUAAUUUAACAUAAAAUGUGGGCAGAGUUUCUUUUGGACCAAGGUCAAAGAUGAAGCUUUUCUGUUUUAUUUUUCACUCCCACAAGAAGAAUGUCACAAUUCAAUCAGUCUUUUGCUUUAUUGAUGGCUGGAAAUCAAUUAGCCCUGGUCAUGUUUGAGGGAAGAUGAAAUGCUAGCUUUUUAUCUCUCUGUUCAUACUUCUUGCAACUAAAUGCAUAAAAUAGGAUUCUGCAAACCUCCAUGGAUAUCUUCUGUAAGACUGCUGUCAGGGUUCUAGUAUGGCUUUUUACAAUUUCAGCUGCUCAUUUACUCUAUCUGUCAGUUCUAGUUAAAAUUACUGUUUAUAUAUUUUCCUAUUCUAGGUGAUCUGUAUGUGUGUAUAUGUAUUAUAUAUUCGCUUUUGAUAUGGUUCUCUCUUGAAAAAUCCAGCAUUUUGUUGGAAAAACAGAUAUUUGAAUCCUCUUACAAUUCUGCUGUUGAGGUAAAAAUCUUCUCCCCGACUCUAGUAUCUUUGUUCUGAAAACAGGAGCAACCUUUACAUUGUUACUGGUGCACAAGGGACAGUAACUGUAGAUAUGUUAAGCAAUCCUGCUGAGGUUCAGCAUAGUUGAACAACAGGGAUUUAUGGUUGCUCUGAUACUGUUGAGCACUUGUUCUACAGUACAAUAAAUUUAGGGUUAGUCUGUCUGUUCUCUGUGGGAUCAAAGUUUUAGCUAAUUGCAUGUGUUUAAUUUUUCCACUGAUGGUUAAAGCACAACCUAAUAAACUCUACAGUUCGGACACUAUUGCCAUGUAAUAUUUUACAUAGCUGUAUUAAUAACAUCCUAUGAUAAUUCUAUACCACUGCCAGCCAAGAUACUAAAAUGUUUUAGUGAUACGUUUAGUGUAAUGUCACAAAACCCCAUUACAAUAUGUAGUGUGCAAACACACAUUUUAAGUAUGAACUCAGUUCCCUCGUACCUAACAGGUUUGCGUGUGGUGGGGCUUUCUUUGUUUUUGUUUCUUUGUUUGUUUCUUUUGGUCAUUAUUGCUGUUCUUGUUCCUGUUCUGUUUUUCUUUAUCUGCUGUAUCAUCUUUAGUGACAUUUGUUAUAAUUAGGCAAUUUAGUUUUCACAGUGGCAGUUCACUUCAGGACACUGCUACACUAAGUUAUCACUCUAAAACCCAGUACAUCCAGUGGAAGAGAAUAUGGGCAUAAGGAUUCAGUAGUACAGAAACAACAGAAUACAAAGGACAUUCGUGGAUGUAUAAUAUUAAGUAGUAAUGUUGAAUCAAAGUGGAGGUCAUCUUCAUAUUUAAUUAUUUUUUUGGUGGCCACACUAUCGUGGAAUGACCAAUACAACCAUGCUGGCAGGGAAAAGAGGAACAGCACUGUCAGAGGUAGCAGCUCUGUCCAUGCAGACUUGCUUCUGACUGCAGUGCUGACCUCUGAAAUACUCCACCAUGGGCCAAAGGGAAGAAAUUUCUGUCCCGUUAAUAUAUCUUAUGCCUUUCGGUAUUUCUUAGUAGGAAUUUUACCUAGUAUUAGAUUUCCAUAUUUACCAGAAGUCAAAAAGUGACUGAACUCUUAUUUAUGUAAGAAUUGAAAACUGCGUUAUCUGUGAUCUCUAGUAGUGUGUUCAAAGAAUUAACAGUCUCAGAAAGUAGUUAAACUUCCAGUCAUUGGGUCAUGGCACAAUCAAAUAUUCAAAAUGCAUGUUUAUGUAUAAAUACAUAAUUAAUGAAACACUUAGAUAGAUGUAUUUGUAUCUGAAGUCUUACAAGAAAAGUAUCACUUCAGUGUGUUUCCUUCUUAUGUUUUUGACUGAGAUAUUUGAAAUCCAGGUAUCUUUGUAACAGGAACAUAUGUUUAAGAAAGAAAAGCUGUUUACAGUUUGUCUAAAAGAAUAUGAAUAAGUAAAAAUACGUUUUUUUUCCCUUUCAUUUUAUUUCCUGAAAACUUAAAACAAUGCAUAAUCAAGAAAAAUGUGAAUUCAAGGGACAAUGGGUGAAAUUCAGAACCUUCUUUAGUCAGUGGGAAGUCUUACUGACUUCAAUGAAGCCAAUAUUUUACCUGAUGCACCAACGUUCCAAUUCUUAUGAAAAUGCAGUGGUAAGUCAUUAAUCAUAACAAUAUAGAGUUACAGUAGUACAAAGCCAUACAUUAAAUUUUGAUACAAAAAGUUAUUGUUUUCUCUGUACCUAGGGGAGGUCCUGGUGAUAGUACUCCCACGAAAAUGAAAUUCAAAGGGGAUAUUAUAUUCAAGAUAGAAAAUAUAUGCUGAUUGCAGCAGGAAGUACUGGUGUUUUUCUUUUUUGAAAGAAAUAUAGUUACAAGGCACAGCCUAAGCCUGAGCCUAAAAACAUUCCCUUGGUGGCUUUACAUUUUCUUCAGAUGUCAUAUGGUUCUUCUACCAGCAGCUAUUACUUCAAGGUUAAGACACAUGCAAUACUAGAUGUGAUAUUAAUAUGGAUGAAUUGGAACAGAAAGGUUAUUUUAAAUUGCCACUAUUCACAGAUAUGUUGAAUCUUUAAAAUCAAAACUGUGCACUUUUGUAGAAGAACUAUGAAAUGCCCUUAGUAAUAUGAAAGCAUUUCCUGCUGAUAGCCAAAAUACCAGAAGUGAAUAUUAAAUAACUUCCAAAUCAUUGCAUCUGUUCUUCCUCUUCCUUUGCAAAUCUUUAAGGUACAAAAUAGGUAUCUUCAGUUUAAGAAUAACACUUAAAAUAUCUUAGUGGUCCCUGACAGUAAUUACUCUAUUUCUGAUGUUAUAGUGCUGUAAAGCUAUUAAAAAAAAAUAAAUUAAAUCCAGGGGAUUAUGCUUUGCAGAUUGAAAAGUAAUAUCCUGGAGAAAUUAUUAUUUCUCCUAUAAAACUGGGAUGGGGAAAAAGUAUACUGGGAAUUUAAAAGGAAGUUCUUCUCCAUUCAGUUGUAAAUAUUUAAAGCAUUCCAUGUAGUUUUUAUUGCAUUCUUAUAUAAUAAUCUACUUCAUCAGAAAAAUAGUCAAGACAUGCACAAAAUAUGAAUUGUAUUUUUAUAUAUCAUAAAAAUGUUAGGUAACUUUUGAACUGUUGCCAAAACCAUGAGCAGACUAUGUCAACUUACUCUGAAAAAGCAGAUAGAAAAUUGUAAUCCAGUAUAACUAUAUGAAACUCAAGGAGAUACGCAGUAAAAUAUGACAGAAUACUUUUGGUGACAGUUCAGUGAGGAAAAGUAGAUUUGGCUGCUAGGCUGUCUCCAGAUUUGUCUACAGUUUUCAUCACUCAAGCUCUUAAACACAUUGUAAAAGUAGCUUUUAGGCUGAAGCACCGGAAAUGCUGACACAGCCAGAAGAACGAAACCCGCUGUGUGAUUCUACCAUUUUAAAAGGAUAUUAUGUAUGAUUCUCUAUACUGAAGGAAGGAAAACAGUCUUCUUUCAACUCUAUUUCCUUUGUACAGUAAUGUGCUGUACCUGUCCACAUUAUUAUGUCUUUUUUUCAUGUUAAAUUUAGUUAUUGUCCUGUGUUUUACACAUUAGCAUUUCUGCAACAAGCAGAAAGAUUACAAAGACAUUAUACUACCCUUCCUUCAUCAUAAAUGUAGAUGAAAGACUCAUUCUACUGUUUCAAGAGCAAAAUGCUCUGUCCAGGAGUCCAUAGAGAAAGAAGCCAACAGUUAAGAUAAUUUGAAAAGUUGGCAGCAGCGUUUCAGUGUAGCCAGAAAGAUAUUGGAAUGCCAUCUAGUAGAAUAAGAAGUAGGAAAGAUAUACUUAAAUACACAAAAUAACCAGUGGGAUAAAAGGUUUUUUUUUUUUUUUUAAUAAGUAAAUAUAUAUGCUACUUCUUUACAAAAGUGUUAUUUCUUUAAAUAAACAAUGCACAUUUUUAUGAAUGGCCAUAUGGACAAAAUCGGCCAAAGAGGAGCAUUUAAAUUUCUGUGCAGGUGACCCAGACCUUCCAGGAUGUGUUUAUGUUCCCAUCCAAUUCAACUCUCCCUUUGUCAUGCAGCAGACAGUUUGUGUAUCCUGCCACUGUGGGACUGCCACCACAGCCGUGCUCAUCAGUCAAACUCAGUGGAAGCCCUCUGAGAUUUCAAAGUCUACUAGCUUACAAGCAGAGCUGGCUUCGGGGUUUGGUACGGUUCUUAGGUAAUGUUAUGCUCCUCUGAAAUAUCAGCAAAAUGGCUUUAAAAUGUACUUUAUUAUUUACACGUCUGUAUGGGUGAAUAUAAGAAGUUAAAAAGAUGUUGUUGUGACAUUGCCUUCAUAAGUAAAUUAGGGUAGUUUCCACAACAAAAUAUCUAGAAGCUGCUUCAAUACAUUCAUGCAGGAAUUACAGCAUGAUAGCUACAGCAUGAAAAAAGAAUGUGCUUUUUCCAUUUUUCACUAAUAUAUUUCAAGAUAGUCUCCUGUGAAGUGUUCUUUCUGAGCUGUUGCUUACUUGAUGGUUCAUUUUUGGAUUGGUCUCUUAAAUAUAAAAUAGGUAUCUGGUAAGAUAUGCAAUUAAAAUGAGGCCAUAAAUGGGGAUUAAUUUACAGGAGGAUUAUGAGAAUGGUUCUAAAUCUUACUAUAUAAAUAAGGAGUACAAAUGUAACCCAAAGCAUUCAUUGGACUGAUUGGUAGAAGUAAUUUAACAGUCAGCAGAGGAAUGACAUUGGAAUUGUCUUCUUAUGUUAUGCAAUUUAAUCAAAUAUAUGCUAAAGAAUUCCAGCUCUAUCCACAGUGUCACCUUGACCAAUUCCGUAUUCCAUGUAUUGCACAGGAAAACCUGUUUCUCUCGAGGCCUAUAACUAUAUCUGCUGUGUUGGUGCAACUGGAUUGAAGAAAGGACAUUUAUCUUAAUAUUUCAGCCUUCCUUGGGUGCGGUUUUGUAGAUUUGAAGUUACAGUGCAUAACCAAGUACACAAUCAAUAUGAGGAUGGUGAGGCAGUGGAACAGGUUGAUGCAGUUGAUGCCCCAUUCAAGGAUUCCCAGGCUAUUUCAUUACACAUCAAGAGAUGUGACAGAAGUAUCCCUGCUAUGUGAGGCAUAAUGGAAAAAUUACUGUGGGAGAAAGGCGGAUAAUAGCUUCUUUAGUAGCCUUACUCCAUAAGAUAUUUCAACCUAAUCACCAGGUAAUAAAGUUAGUCAGAAGUUGGCUUUAAAAAUACACCAGUAAAGAGAAAGUUCAGAAAUGACAUCUAGAAUUUCCAGGAUGAAGUUCAAUAUAUUGAAAAUGCUGAGAAAUUUGUGCUGAAUUUUUUCAUAAUUCUGUUCUUUAUGCUUUAAGAAUCUUUUGAUUCAUUUAUGUAUGCAUAGAAAAAGUUAUAUUAAAAUGUAAACUGUAAGUGAUUUUAUAUGAAAUUCUAACAACUCAUCAUCCAAUCACUUGACCUUUCUAUGACCACAGAAAACCUCUGGAUAUGUUCUCUUUCAGAAAGUUAAGCUUUUUUCUCCAAAAAUUAUUGAUGUUCUUCUCUCUGCAAAUGUCAUAAGAAAAUUGUAAAAGUCCCUUGUGUAUUACUGUUUUAGAAGAAUAUCACACAAGCAGGGUAAAAUCUAGUGGGCUUGUUAACGAUGUUACUAUUUUGUGUCUUUUCAUUUUUUACUUUUCAAGUAGAUCUGUCUACUUUUUAGUAAUUUAUCUACAAACCAUAUUUACAGAGGUACCCACACUGUAGCUCUGGCUCAGUAUGCAUGUUUCAGGAGAAGCCUGUGAAAGAAACAACCAUUCUAUGAUUCUAUGAAACAAUUUCUUUCCUACUUAGUUUGGUUCAGAGUGCAGUACUACUACCAGGAAUGGCUCAAGCAGUCACUUGUAGGCCUUCAUUGUUUAAACAGCUGCAUAGACAAUUUAACUUAGUAUAUCCGUGUCCAUCAUCAGAUGAUUCACUUUGUUUAAGUGGACAGUGAAUGUUACUCAGGCUGAAUUGCAUGGGGGGGGGGGGGGGGUGUGAAGAAAAAGAGGAACUUUCCUAAUCAAAAUGUGAUGCUAAAUCAUAUCAUUUACAAAAAAACUUUUUAAUCUUAUCUUCUGAGGCCACUGUGACAAAACUGAUGGUUAUACUGUUAAUCAGAGCCACUAAGUUAUUAUACUGUUUUCAGCAGAGACUGGGGAUUUUUCCUCCAUUCCAAGUCUUAUCUGGUAGAUCUGUUAGUAGAUUUGCAUUCUGCCUGCUUGGGAGAUCUUGCACGUACCAUUGUAUUUAAGAUCACUGAAAAAAGUCCUCAAGAAGAAAUUUUCCAGCAUAGGUUCUUGAAAUCAGGCCUUAUAUUGCAUGGGGAAUGAGAUCUACAGUCUGCUUUGAAAAACUGCUGAGCAGUUACAGCUACAAAAUUUCAAUGGUUGUUCACAAAUACGGAAUGCCUUUAAAAAGACUAACAUGUGCAGAUCUCCAGAGACAAAUAUUUCUCACCCUAAAUGUCAGUUUCCUACUCCAAACCAUGGUUUUCCAGAAAGACACUCACGGUUUAAAUUAAGAAACCAGCAGUAUUCAUCCUGGCUAAGAGACAGUCAAAACCAGUGUCUUAACGCUUUUCAAGCAAGUACUCUAUCAGUCCAUUCAUCUGUAUCAGCACCCUUAAAAAAAAAAAAAAGGAGAGAGAGAAAGAGAGAGAAAUCUAGAAUGUAAAGACUAAUAGAGAAGGUGGGAACCAAAGCAAAUUCCAUGUAAAUGGGGAAUGUUUAGGUUGUCAGAAUGUGAGGAGCAGUUGAGUGAAAAUUUUGUGGUAGAACAGUACUUUUUGGUAUCAGAUACUAAUGAUUUAAUAAUAGUGUAUUGUAAGUACAUUUCUAAUAUUUAAAAUGGGAUUCUUCCUUCUAGGCACCUUACCAAAUGGCUAGACAUUUUAUGGCAAUUUAAAUUGACAAUUCAUGAAUUAAACAAUUUUAUCUGCUGUUUAUAGUCGUAUUUCCACGCAAAUGUUAGCUCUGAGCAACAGUAGUAAUUGAACUAGAUGUGGUAGCUAACAAUCACUAGCUCCCUAACAGCAAAAUUAGAAAACCCAACUUUACUAUGAUAAGACAGGAUAUAGGAUGUAUUUGAAUAAAAAAAUAAAGGAGAAAACAUUUCUUAUACUUCAAGAUGCGUUAGCUAAACUGCAUUUCUUGCUAACAAAUCUGUCUUCGCUAAAUAAACAUAUUUUACUAUACAAAACUUAAAAAGCUUUUUAAUUUUGGUGAUCCUUUAGGUUCUGAGGAAAUCUCAACAAACUAAAUUGUCUUGCGAAAACAUCAAUAUACAGUAAAAGUAUGCUUUAAUUUAAGCUUGAUUUACCAGCACAAAAAUGGCUUAGAUAAGGGUGCCCUCUAAUGGAGACUGUGGCUAUGAAGUCUUGUUAAGGUUUUUUAGCUUUUGAAUAAACUACAUAGACCUGAUUUUCUUUACAAAUCAGUAUAAGUGGACUUUGAAUAAACUUCAGCAAGAUAAAGUUAAUAAAACAUGCAAUUUGAAAAGCAGAUACUUCCUCUGAAAUAAGAGCUCACUUUCUACAUCAUACACUCCCAUGAAAUCCUUUUUUCAGGGCAAGUUGACAAUGAACUACAGCAACAAUUGGAUUUCUCUCUCAGUUAAAGACAGAAAUUGUGCAAAUAUUAGAAAUAAUGGAGAGAAAACUUAAUCAACUUGUGGGUAAAAGGGAUUUAGAAUAGUUGAGGAAAUGCUUGUGGGUUUUUUGCUUGUUUGUUUGUUUUGGGU
rnacentral:lncRNA from 1 species